GGUACCUAAGAUAAUGAUGCAUUUUGCAGUUGACGGCACCUUAGAUUUACUCAAUCAUGAAAAAAAAGGUGGCUGUCUACGUGGUGGGGAAUAUGAAGACCCUUCACUCCUCAGCGGCAGAGCUCCAAGGAGGGAAGCAGGACCUCAAAAGCGACAUCUCAGCAUUGUACCUGGAGAGGGGACUGGACCCUGAGCACUAGGGAUUCUGUCUUCCCUCCUCCAACCUCAGUAAGGAUUCCUACAACUCAUGUGCGGCUAGAAGCAGGUGCUGGCAGGAUCCAAGGUCCCCAUUCUUGGGCUGGCAUGAGGCAGCUGUCAGCACCCCCAGUGAUGCUACAGGUUUUCUGUUCCAGGUUCUACAUCUGGAUUCUGGGUCAUCCCUGGGAGCCAGAGGGAUCCCCAGUGAUAAGAGAGAUUGAAUUUUUUUCUAGUCUGGCAAUAUCCAGGCCAAUUUAAUUAGAUUUUUA
rnacentral:lncRNA from 10 species